UGAACAAUGAAGUUUAUGGAAUAACUAUGAGGGCAAAAAUCUCCAACCUUACCGACAACAUUGACAUGUCCUUUACACAUAACGAUAAGAACGGUAAUGUGUCCUGUGUUUCUUGGGAUGGCAAAGGAAGACUCAAUUGGACGACGUUCGGCUGUAAGACAGAAAUCAACAACAACUCCAUAAAGUGCUCCUGCUCACAUCUGACGUU